rnacentral:rRNA from 1 species
UUUGGCAGAGCCGGAUCUCCCUGCGGUUCUUGCCUGGUUUCCCAUUAAAGUUAAACAGGGUUGAGCCUGGACAGUACCUGGAUGGGAGACCUCCUGGGGAAAAACUAAGGUUGCUGCUGGAA